UCGCGCUUCGGAGAUGGCAUGCCUCCCUUAACCGCCGGUAGCCCGGCUGAUGAUGCCUGCGCGUUC
rnacentral:ncRNA from 2 species